rnacentral:rRNA from 1 species
AUUGAACGCUGGCGGCAGGCCUAACACAUGCAAGUCGAGCGGGUGAAUGGAGCUUGUUCCUGGAUUCAGCGGCGGGCGGGGGGGUAAUGCCUAGGAAUCUGCCUGGUAGUGGGGGGUAACGUCCGGAAACAGUCGCUAAUACCGCAUACGUCCUGCGGGAGAAAGUUGGGGAUCUUCAGACCUUGCGCUAUCAGAUUAGGCUAGGUCGGAUUAUCUGGUUGGUGGGGUAAAGGCCUACCAAGGCGACGAUCCGUAACUGGUCUGAGAGGAUGAUCAGUCACACUGGAACUGUACCACGGUACAGACUACUCUGGGAGGCAGCAGUGGAGAAUAUUGGACAAUGGGAGAAAGGCUGAUCUAGUCAUGCCGCGCGUGUGAAGAAGGUCUUCGGAUAGUAGAGCAAUUCAAGUUGGGCAGAAGGGCAGUAAGUUCAUACCUUGCUGUGUUGACGUUACCAACAGAAUAAGCACCGGCUAACUUCGUG